UGUGGUGAUGGGCAAACUUGGUGAAAACCAAGGACGCAAAGAUAUGGGUCUUCGAUUCUCUUUUUUGAAUAAAGAUUGCCAGUCCGCGAAA
rnacentral:ncRNA from 1 species